UACGGAGGGUGCAAGCGUUGUCCGGAUUUAUUGGGUUUAAAGGGUGCGUAGGCGGAUUGAUAAGUCAGUGGUGAAAGGCAGCGGCUCAACCGUUGAGUUGCCAUUGAUACUGUAAGUCUUGAGUGCACUAGAGGUAAGUGGAAUUUAUGGUGUAGCGGUGAAAUGCAUAGAUACCAUAAAGAACACCAAUAGCGAAGACAACUUACUAGAGUGUAACUGACGCUGAAACACGAAAGCGUAGAAAACGAACAGG
rnacentral:misc_RNA from 1 species